CGUAAAACGUUGGGGAACUAGUUGUGGGGGCCUUUCCACGGUCUCCGUGACGCAGCUAAACGCAUUAAGUUUCCCCGCCUGGGGAGUACGGCCGCAAGGCUAAAACUCAAAGGAAUUGACGGGGACCCGCACAAGCGGCGGAGCAUGCGGAUUAAUUCGAUGCAACGCGAAGAACCUUACCAAGGCUUGACAUAUACGAGAACGGGCUAGAAAUAGUCAACUCUUUGGACACUCGUAUACAGGUGGUGCAUGGUUGUCGUCAGCUCGUGUCGUGAGAUGUUGGGUUAAGUCCCGCAACGAGCGCAACCCUCGUUCUCUGUUGCCAGCACGUAAUGGUGGGAACUCAGGGGAUACUGCCGGGGUCAACUCGGAGGAAGGUGGGGAUGACGUCAAAUCAUCAUGCCCCUUAUGUCUUGGGCUUCACGCAUGCUACAAUGGCCGGUACAAAGGGCUGCAAUACCGUGAGGUGGAGCGAAUCCCAAAAAGCCGGUCCCAGUUCGGAUUGAGGUCUGCAACUCGACCUCAUGAAGUCGGAGUCGCUAGUAAUCGCAGAUCAGCAACGCUGCGGUGAAUACGUUCCCGGGUCUUGUACACACCGCCCGUCAAGUCAUGAAAGUCGGUAACACCUGAAGCCGGUGGCCUAACCCUUGUGGAGGGAGCCGUCGAAGGUGAUCGUAAGGUCCC
rnacentral:rRNA from 1 species